AUGGAGAUCUGCAGCUUGCUUGGGGCCUUCUUCCAUGUCAGUGCUAUCCCUGACCCAAUACAAAAUGUUAUGAAUAGCUUGCAGGAUGGGCUGAGUGAUGUUCUUCUAGUGCUGCUUAAGAAUUCGGAUACUCGAGAAAAGGUCCUUGAAUAUCUGGCAGCGGUGAUAAACACAAAUGCAGGAAGAUCUGGCAUGCGUGUGGACCCUUUGAAAUGCGCAAGUUCGUGUAUGUUUGUCAAUCUUAGUGCUGUCAUGCUCAGUCUGUGCGAGCCUUCUUUGGAUAAAAUGGAGUUGAUGAAGGGCAAGAUUGAUGUCAAGUACCUCUUCUGCAACAAAAGAGUAGAUUUCAAGAGCUUGACCGCGGAACUUGCAAGGUGUGAAGAUGGUUUGGAAGCAAACAAAGCAAUCAGAGAUCAAGGAGGAAGCCUAGUUGGGGGAUUUAAGAUGCCUUUGCCAUCAGAAUGCCCCAUGGAAUUUUCUUGCAUACCGGAGCAUUUUCUUGAUGAUGCAAUGGAUUUACUUGCUCUAACCUCUAGAAUUCCAAAAGCUCUGGAGGGCUUCCCUUUGGAUGAUUUUCUCAAUUUCAACAUCAUGUUCAUGGCGAGCUCUUCCUACAUUAAAAAUCCUUACCUGAAAGCAAAGAUGGUUGAAGUUUUGAAAAGCUGGAUGCCACAAAGAAGCGGCUUGAAAUCCACAGCCUCGUUAUUUGAGGGGCACCAACUAUGUCUCAAUUAUCUUGUCAAGAAUCUUCUAAAGCUUUAUGUGGAUAUUGAAUUCACUGGCUCCCAUACACAAUUCUUCGACAAAUUUAAUAUUCGACACAACAUUGCUGAGCUUCUUGAGUAUUUAUGGGAUGUUCCUAAGAAACCUGGAGGUAGGUCUCGAUGCGGAUGUCACCGGACACCCUCAAAGACGAUCCAUAGCGGCUCCCGAAUGCGGCAUCCCACCCCUGUUGUCUGCGUGCCGCCAAUCAAUCGAUUCAUUCAUCGUUUGUUUCAUCCCCAAAUUCAAAGAGAACUUUGGAGCAAUAGUGAGAGGUUUGAGAGUGGUAAACACACGGGUAAUAAGGAGACCUUGGCUGGAGGUGACGCGGUAGAGGGCGUCGUGGAGGCCCCCAAUGGCGGAGCAGCCGAAGCCCUUGGCGGCGGCGGCGAGCGCAGGGAGUGUGCGGAUCAAGCCGCCGCCACCUGCACGGUAGAUCAUAGAUCAAAACCACCACCGGCACCUGCUCCUCCAUUGGCUCUGAGCCACCGCCGCCAGCAACUCAGCCUCGCCCUCUCCGCCCGCAACCGUAUUACGUUUGUUCUGGCACGGUCCGCCCCGUCCUCUCCGCUCUGCUCUGUUCGAUCUGGUGCGAGGUGGAGGGGGGUCGCCGAUGGUGAGGAGAAGCUUAGGGAAGGAGAAAAGAGGUGGAAGAGUCAGCCAUUGGGGAGGGCGUGGGUGAUGGCAGCGGCAGCGAGAAGAUUGAAUGGGAGGAGCUGCUCGAAGCGACUUCCUAGUACAGGUGGUGGGAGUAACAACAUGAAGACCGAGGUGAAGUGGUUCAAGCUCCGACGAAGUCGGCACAGGCAGUCCAUGAAAGCUACAACCAUGUCAACAGGGGUCGCCGUCCUCCAGCUUUGGGAAGACUUGUCUUUUAUUGGAAGUAACUAG
rnacentral:rRNA from 1 species